rnacentral:lncRNA from 1 species
CUUAUAUUUCAGGCUUGGGGUGAAACAUGAUUUACUAAAUUUGUUUGUUUAAGAGUUGACAUUAGCCGUUGCAUUUGGUAUUAGAGACGAGUACUGGUUGAGUUAUUAUUGCUAGUCAGCCGAGUCAUUAUAUUCAGUACCAGAGACCGCAGGAGCCACCUCUAUAAUUUUAAGUUGUCGAUUAGAAAUAUAAAAAACUACACACCUUAUUGAUAAUAGCUGAGCUUAAAUAUUUUGGACCCCUGAUGGUUUAAACCCAACAAAUUAUUAUUGCUAGUAGAUUGUAUCGUUACGUAUUAGCAAUUUAUUGGAUCUAAACUACAAGUCUAAAAAUAUUUGAAUAUAAGUUAUUUGUAUUAACGUGCUAAGCUCUUACGUAUCAAAUUACAAUUUUUUUCUCUCAACCCAUCUAAAAUUAUUC